ACGCUGGCGGCGUGCCUAACACAUGCAAGUCGAGCGGGACAUUGCGACGGAGGCGAAGUACUCGUACGGAGUCAAAGAUGUAAUGUCUAGCGGCGGACGGGUGAGUAACGCGUGAGCAACCUGUCCCUUACAGGGGAUAACACAGCGAAAGUUGUACUAAUACCGCAUAAGACCACAGGAUGACAUCGUCCAGGGGUCAAAGGAGCAAUCCGGUAAGGGGUGGGCUCGCGUCCGAUUAGAUAGUUGGUGAGGUAACGGCCCACCAAGUCGACGAUCGGUAGCCGACCUGAGAGGGUGAUCGGCCACAUUGGGACUGAGACACGGCCCAAACUCCUACGGGAGGCAGCAGUGGGGAAUAUUGGGCAAUGGGGGGAAACCCUGACCCAGCAACGCCGCGUGAGGGAAGAAGGUUUUCGGAUCGUAAACCUCUGUCCCAGGUGAAGAGGAAGAGACGGUAGCCUGGGAGGAAGCCCCGGCUAACUACGUGCCAGCAGCCGC
rnacentral:rRNA from 1 species